rfam:Asian citrus Psyllid, Diaphorina citri - Florida Strain, whole genome shotgun sequence.
GCUCCCAUGGCGUAGUGGUCACUGCACUCGCCUUGCACGCGGGAGACCCAGGUUCGAUUCCCGGCGGGGUCA